rnacentral:rRNA from 1 species
AUUGAACGCUGGCGGCAGGCCUAACACAUGCAAGUCGAACGGUAACAGGAAGAAGCUUGCUUCUUUGCUGACGAGUGGCGGACGGGUGAGUAAUGUCUGGGAAACUGCCUGAUGGAGGGGGAUAACUACUGGAAACGGUAGCUAAUACCGCAUAACGUCGCAAGACCAAAGAGGGGGACCUUCGGGCCUCUUGCCAUCGGAUGUGCCCAGAUGGGAUUAGCUAGUAGGUGGGGUAACGGCUCACCUAGGCGACGAUCCCUAGCUGGUCUGAGAGGAUGACCAGCCACACUGGAACUGAGACACGGUCCAGACUCCUACGGGAGGCAGCAGUGGGGAAUAUUGGACAAUGGGCGCAAGCCUGAUGCAGCCAUGCCGCGUGUAUGAAGAAGGCCUUCGGGUUGUAAAGUACUUUCGGCGGGGAGGAAGGGAGUAAAGUUAAUACCUUUACUCAUUGACGUUACCCGCAGAAGAAGCACCGGCUAACUCCGUG